CCCGCUGAACUUAAGCAUAUCAAUAAGCGGAGGAAAAGAAACUAACAAGGAUUCCCCUAGUAACUGCGAGUGAAGCGGGAAAAGCUCAAAUUUAAAAUCUGGCGGUCCUUGUGGCCGUCCGAGUUGUAAUUUAGAGAAGUGUUAUCCGCGCUGGACCGUGUACAAGUCUCCUGGAAUGGAGCGUCAUAGAGGGUGAGAAUCCCGUCUUUGACACGGACUGCCAGGGCAUUGUGAUACGCUCUCAAAGAGUCGAGUUGUUUGGGAAUGCAGCUCAAAAUGGGUGGUAAAUUCCAUCUAAAGCUAAAUAUUGGGGAGAGACCGAUAGCGAACAAGUACCGUGAGGGAAAGAUGAAAAGAACUUUGGAAAGAGAGUUAAACAGUACGUGAAAUUGCUGAAAGGGAAACGCUUGAAGUCAGUCGCGUCGCUCAGGACUCAGCCUUGCUUUUGCUUGGUGUACUUCCUGUUCGAUGGGUCAGCAUCAAUUUUGGUCGGUGGAUAAAGGCUCAGAGAAUGUGGCAUCUUCGGGUGUGUUAUAGCUCUGGGUUGUAUACAUCGGCGGGGAUUGAGGAACUCAGCACGCCGCAAGGCCGGGUACUUGUACCACGUACGUGCUUAGGAUGCUGGCAUAAUGGCUUUAAUCGACCCGUCUUGAAACACGG
rnacentral:rRNA from 1 species